GCUGUGGCUCAAUGGUAGAGUGCUCGCCUAGCAAGUGUGAGGCCCUGGGUUUGAUCCUCAGCACUGUA
rnacentral:tRNA from 1 species